UAAGGAAUAUUGGUCAAUGGACGCAAGUCUGAACCAGCCAUGCCGCGUGGAGGAUGAAGGUCCUCUGGAUUGUAAACUUCUUUUAUCUGGGACGAAACACUCCUAUUCUUAGGGGCCUGACGGUACCAGAUGAAUAAGCACCGGCUAACUCCGUGCCAGCAGCCGCGGUAAUACGGAGGGUGCAAGCGUUAUCCGGAUUCACUGGGUUUAAAGGGUGCGUAGGUGGGUAUGUAAGUCAGUGGUGAAAUCCCCGAGCUUAACUUGGGAACUGCCGUUGAUACUAUAUAUCUUGAAUGUCGUAGAGGUAAGCGGAAUAUGUCAUGUAGCGGUGAAAUGCUUAGAGAUGACAUAGAACACCAAUUGCGAAGGCAGCUUGCUAUGCGAUUAUUGACACUGAGGCACGAAAGCGUGGGUAGCAAACA
rnacentral:rRNA from 1 species